AUUGAACGCUGGCGGCAUGCCUUACACAUGCAAGUCGAACGGCAGCACGGGAGCAAUCCUGGUGGCGAGUGGCGAACGGGUGAGUAAUAUAUCGGAACGUGCCCAGUCGUGGGGGAUAACGUAGCGAAAGCUACGCUAAUACCGCAUACGAUCUAUGGAUGAAAGCGGGGGAUCGCAAGACCUCGCGCGAUUGGAGCGGCCGAUAUCAGAUUAGGUAGUUGGUGAGGUAAAGGCUCACCAAGCCGACGAUCUGUAGCUGGUCUGAGAGGACGACCAGCCACACUGGGACUGAGACACGGCCCAGACUCCUACGGGAGGCAGCAGUGGGGAAUUUUGGACAAUGGGCGCAAGCCUGAUCCAGCAAUGCCGCGUGCAGGAUGAAGGCCUUCGGGUUGUAAACUGCUUUUGUACGGAACGAAACGGCGAGCUCUAAUACAGUUUGCUAAUGACGGUACCGUAAGAAUAAGCACCGGCUAACUACGUGCCAGCCGCCGCCGUAA
rnacentral:rRNA from 1 species